GACGAACGCUGGCGGCGUGCUUAACACAUGCAAGUCGAACGGCAACGCCCUGCUUUUGUGGGGUGCUCGAGUGGCGAUCGGGUGAGUAACACGUGAGUAACCUGCCCUUGUCUUUGGGAUAACUUCAGGUAACUGGGGUUACUACAGGAUCGCAGCCCCUGUUGCAUGGUGGGGGUUGGAACGUCUCGGCGGUUGGGGAUGGACUAGCGGCUUAUCAGCUUGUUGGUGGGGUAGUGGCUGACCCAGGCUUUGACGGGUAGCCGGCCUGUGUGGGUGGCCGGGCUCAAGGGGACUGAGAUACGGCCCAGACGCCAACGGGAGGCAGCGGGGGGGAAUAUUACACAGUGGGCGGGAGCGUGAGGCAGCAACGCCGCGGGCGGGAUGACGGCUUUCUGGGUAUAAACCGCUGCCGCCUGUGACGAAGCGGGAGUGACGGUAAUGAGUAAAGAAGCACCGGCUAACUACGUG
rnacentral:rRNA from 1 species